UACAGGGGGGGCAAGCGUUGUUCGGAAUUACUGGGCGUAAAGGGGUUGUAGGCGGCCAACUAAGUCACCCGUGAAAUCCCCAGGCUUAACCUGGGAACUGCGUGUGAUACUGGAUGGCUUGAAUCCGGGAGAGGGAUGCAGAAUUCCAGGUGUAGCGGUGAAAUGCGUAGAUAUCUGGAGGAAUACCGGUGGCGAAGGCGGGUCUCUGGGCCGUAACUGACGCUGAGGAGCGAAAGCGUGGGGAGCGAACAGG
rnacentral:rRNA from 1 species